rnacentral:rRNA from 1 species
UCUAAGGCCGAGAGCUGAUGACGAGUGUUCUUUUAGAACACGAAGUGGUUGAUGCCAUGCUUCCAAGAAAAGCUUCUAAGCUUCAGGUAACCAGGAACCGUACCCCAAACCGACACAGGUGGUUGGGUAGAGAAUACCAAGGCGCUUGAGAGAACUCGGGUGAAGGAACUAGGCAAAAUGGCACCGUAACUUCGGGAGAAGGUGCGCCGGUGAGGGUGAAGCAUUUACUGCGUAAGCCCAUGCCGGUCGAAGAUACCAGGCCGCUGCGACUGUUUAUUAAAAACACAGCACUCUGCAAACACGAAAGUGGACGUAUAGGGUGUGACGCCUGCCCGGUGCCGGAAGGUUAAUUGAUGGGGUUAGCUAACGCGAAGCUCUUGAUCGAAGCCCCGGUAAACGGCGGCCGUAACUAUAACGGUCCUAAGGUAGCGAAAUUCCUUGUCGGGUAAGUUCCGACCUGCACGAAUGGCGUAACGAUGGCGGCGCUGUCUCCACCCGAGACUCAGUGAAAUUGAAAUCGCUGUGAAGAUGCAGUGUAUCCGCGGCUAGACGGAAAGACCCCGUGAACCUUUACUAUAGCUUUGCACUGGACUUUGAAUUUGCUUGUGUAGGAUAGGUGGGAGGCUUUGAAGCGUGGACGCCAGUUCGCGUGGAGCCAACCUUGAAAUACCACCCUGGCAACUUUGAGGUUCUAACUCAGGUCCGUUAUCCGGAUCGAGGACAGUGUAUGGUGGGUAGUUUGACUGGGGCGGUCUCCUCCUAAAGAGUAACGGAGGAGUACGAAGGUGCGCUCAGACCGGUCGGAAAUCGGUCGUAGAGUAUAAAGGCAAAAGCGCGCUUGACUGCGAGACAGACACGUCGAGCAGGUACGAAAGUAGGUCUUAGUGAUCCGGUGGUUCUGUAUGGAAGGGCCAUCGCUCAACGGAUAAAAGGUACUCCGGGGAUAACAGGCUGAUACCGCCCAAGAGUUCAUAUCGACGGCGGUGUUUGGCACCUCGAUGUCGGCUCAUCACAUCCUGGGGCUGAAGCCGGUCCCAAGGGUAUGGCUGUUCGCCAUUUAAAGUGGUACGCGAGCUGGGUUUAGAACGUCGUGAGACAGUUCGGUCCCUAUCUGCCGUGGACGUUUGAGAUUUGAGAGGGGCUGCUCCUAGUACGAGAGGACCGGAGUGGACGAACCUCUGGUGUUCCGGUUGUCACGCCAGUGGCAUUGCCGGGUAGCUAUGUUCGGAAUAGAUAACCGCUGAAAGCAUCUAAGCGGGAAACUAGCCUCAAGAUGAGAUCUCACUGGGACCUUGAGUCCCCUGAAGGGCCGUCGAAGACUACGACGUUGAUAGGUUGGGUGUGUAAGCGCUGUGAGGCGUUGAGCUAACCAAUACUAAUUGCCCGUGAGGCUUGACCAU